UUUGGGCUGGUUUUAGAACUGACUUUGGCUGGUUUGGAAAAAUAAAUCUGGCAACCCUGCAUGGAGACGUUCUGGUCGCAGUCAGGAUGCCCAUGAACUAUAGUGGGUUGGUGCCUAGGGACUAGGGUUGCCGCCUUUACUCAGUAAACUGUGAGUGGCACCUUACAGUGUUACCUCCUGGCUAGUAACAAUCAUUAGGGUGGUCAGACAUCUUUAUUCAGACAGGGCAGUUUCCAGCAUUAUCCCCUCAGCCCUGCACCACCUCAGGCGGGACUUUGUCUAUUCUCGGGCCUGGCUAUAAUGAGGGUAUAAACACGGGGAACUGAAGGCUGCAAUAACCUCUCAUGUAAUGUAAUUAUCAUUUUGUGUAGUUGCCAUGUAUAGGGUUGCCACCUUUUGUGGAAAAUAAUGCAGGCCUUCCUAUAUUUUCAUGUUAUCCCUAUUGGCAUCAGGUAUCAUUUGUUACCUCUCAGGCCGGUAAAACACUAGCCAGGCGGUAACCCUACACAGGCCUGUUACUCGGAGUGAAGGGCUAAGAGCGGCG